rnacentral:rRNA from 1 species
UGCAAGUCGAACGAAGUAGCAAUACUUAGUGGCAGACGGGUGAGUGACAUGUAGGUAUCUGCCCUUUGGCCUGGAAUAACACGAGGAAACUUGUGCUAAUACCGGAUAAGUCUUCACGGAGAAAGCUUUAUGCACUAAUGGAUGAGCCUGCACUUGAUUAGUUUGUUGGUGGGGUAAUGGCCUACCAAGACUUUGAUCAAUAGCUGAUUUGAGAGGAUGAUCAGCCACAUUGGGACUGAGACACGGCCCAAACUCCUACGGGAGGCAGCAGUGGGGAAUCUUGCACAAUGGAGGAAACUCUGAUGCAGCGAUGCCGCGUGAGUGAAGAAGGCCCUUGGGUUGUAAAGCUCUUUCGUCGGGGAAGAAAAUGACUGUACCCGAAUAAGAAGGUCCGGCUAACUUCGUGCCAGCAGCCGCGGUAAUACGAAGGGACCUAGCGUAGUUCGGAAUUACUGGGCUUAAAGAGUUCGUAGGUGGUUGAAAAAGUUGGUGGUGAAAUCCCAGAGCUUAACUCUGGAACUGCCAUCAAAACUUUUCAGCUAGAGUAUGAUAGAGGAAAGCAGAAUUUCUAGUGUAGAGGUGAAAUUCGUAGAUAUUAGAAAGAAUACCAAUUGCGAAGACAGCUUUCUGGAUCAUUACUGACACUGAGGAACGAAAGCAUGGGUAGCGAAGANGAUUAGAUACCCUCGUAGUCCAUGCCGUAAACGAUGUGUGUUAGACGUUGGAAAUUUAUUUUCAGUGUCGCAGCAAAAGCGAUAAACACACCGCCNGGGGAGUACGACCGCANGGUUAAAACUCAAAUGAANUNGACGGGGACCNGCACANGUANUGGANCAUGUGGUUUAANUUCGA